CGUCAACUAAGUCCUAGGAUCGAGACACAGUUUUCGCGGUUGCAACUUGUUGAAUGUGGACUCUCAAAAAUCAGCAUCUGCAGUCCGUCGGAGGGACAUUGUUCGGAGCCAGAGGCGAGCAAACACAGCAGGGCGCGGAUCAGGGUCUUUUCUAAGGAGUCAGUUCUUCGCAUGAAGUGGUC